rnacentral:tRNA from 1 species
AUUAAAGUAGCUUAAAUUUCAAAGCGCAGCUCUGAAGAAGCUGAAAUGAUUAUCUAUCCUUUAAUG